UGGGGGAGGUCCUCCCAUACACACACCCUCACUCCCAUCCAUACACUCACCCUCUCACACACCCAACCUCCCACCUUUAAUGUGUGUGGAUGGGACUAAGGUUUUCUCAUUUCUUUCAGAUUGUGCGCCUCCGAGGUGAACGUGUGGCUGGUCGAGAACUCCUCCAAACAGGUAAAGUACUUAUGACAAUAUAUAAUGUCUAUAUGCAAGUAUUUAUGAAUGUUAUGUUUUAAAGUUUUUUGUAUUCCAGGUUUGUUUGUGUGGCUGACUGGACCUACUACAAGGUGCUUCUUGGAGGUAAUAAAGAUACAUCAGUGAUGGUGAGGCCGUCACAUUACCAGCGGUUGUGGAUUUCUCAAUUCAACCUUUAUAUUGCAGACUCCACAUAAGGUAAAACACUUCCAUUCAGCAAUUGGUGUGCAGUGUCCAGAUUGUCAACAUUUAAUCUCAUGGUGUUGUCCCGACCUCCGUAAAGUGUCAUUAAUGCAAGAACGAAUGUAAGUGUCGUCAAGACCAACACAUGUGGUAACUCCAACGAGAACCAGGCCAAUAAGGUAAGAAAUAAGGGAUUCCAACAUAUGGCGAGUCGGUUAGAUUAGGUCCGGUUUAUGUUUUUAUAGUGUUUGUUUUGUUUUUUUGCAUUUUUCAUUCGCCGAGCCAAUAUUUUUUUCGGGAAACACCUCACCAAAAAAAUCUAUAAAAAACGACCAAUUUCCGACGGAAAUGGAGGUCAUAACCGAUCUAAACACAAAUACGCUAAUAUUUUGUUUUACUUUCUAAUUGUUGUGUGCACAUACAAAUGGACCUUUUUACACCAGGGGACAACCAAGGAACCUCCAGGUUACGUUACGUUGU
rnacentral:lncRNA from 1 species